UCGAUUCUUUAUAAAAUGUUUCCAACUCUAGUUUCCAAAUGAAACUCAGAGAGCAUCUAUUGUAAUGGUAAUGGUAUGUUGUAGUACGAAAAUUGGAUAACAUCAGGUUAAUUCAUCCCUUCCGGUUGUUUUUAUAACGUAUAUAUCGGUUAAUUAAGUAAACAUAUAACACUGGAUACACCAUAUUUUAAUGCUGAAAAUGUGGAAAAUUAUCCACGAUCUACCCCGCCUCUCAUAAAAAACGUGAAAUAAUUUUCGAUACCCUAGUAGACUUUAUUAUCAAUAUGUGAGAAUUAUCUACACGAAAUAGCAUGAAAACAUGUUCUCAAGUAUACUUGAGUACUGCCAAACAUUAAUGUAAUAAUUCGGGAUCUUCGCCUGGCCCUAAUAUACUUGUACGCUAUAUAGUGAUUAUGAGGCUUAGCGAACAUUGAACAUUUGCAUGGCUAAAAGAAGUCUGAUGAACAGACCAACAAAAAGUGGAAGGAGUCGCUAGAUUUCAGAACGCUGCCGUCAUAGGAGAAUUGUACCACAGUUUUGGAAAGACACUGCCAAUACCUGGAAUCACUGGACAACACGCAUGUUAGUACUUCGUCAACUCAAGGUGCUAACAAAUACUCCAGUUCGAAAUCAAGGAAUCAACCACGAGGCUAUACAUUUUUCUGCUCCAACAUAACUUGUACUUUCUGUUCCAGUAACAACCAUCAGGUUUUUAAUUGCGAUCGCUUUAAGUCACUAAACAUAACUCAACGUUUCGAUCAUGCAAAGAAAAUUAGACUUUGCAUCAAUUGCUUAUUAAAGGGAUAUCAUGUAGCCAAUUGUCCAUCAACACACAGGUGCAAGGUUUGUGCACGGCAACACCACAGUUUGCUCUACCGCGGUUCUUCUUCAGGCCAACAAACACCUACUCAGGUAUUUACAAAACAGGAGGCAGUCACGCAUACACACAAGAAUUAUUCAUCGCUGGAUAACGUCAUCCUUGCAACAGCAAAAAUUUUCGUUCGUGAUGCAUCGGGGAGCUACAAAUUGGGUACAGCACUGCUAGAUUCCUGUUCACAGGUUUUCACUCACUGCCAACAUAUUCAAGGAAGUUCCAGGAGUUCACCAACUGAAGAUAUUCGCACGUAUCAACUAAAUACUGUAACGUAUAGAAUGGCUGCUGCACCAUAUCUUGCUAUACGGUUCUAUUUAGCUGAGCAGCAUUCAGAACAAUUUACAAUUGGCGCAAAAAUCGUGAGGUCAUCAUUCUACGUAGACGACCUACUCUGUGGUGCUGAUACUCUAACCGAACUUGUACAGAUAAAGCAAAAGGUAAUACAACUGUUAGAAUUAGGACAGUUUAAAUUAACAAAGUGGCAUUCCAAUUAUCAUCAAUUCAGAGAAGACGACUCUAUAAAUGAUCUAAACUUAGAUACAUCCAUCACUAGUACACUUGGACUAAAAUGGAACCAAAAUCUUGAUUGUUUAAUUUUUUCAUUUGAAGCAAAACUAGCACUGACUGGCCGACUUACAAAACGUUCCAUUCUUUCUGUUGCAUAAUCACUUUACGACCCACUUGGACUUUUAGUUCCUGUUAUUAUACAAUAACAAAUUUUGUUGCAAGAAAUAUGGCUACUAAAGUUGGAUUGGGAUGAAUCUGUGACACAGAAUAUCGAAUUUGCUUGAAAAAAUUUCUUAACUGCUUAUCGGAUCUUUCACUAAUUAAAGUGCCGAGGCUCUGUUUUUCGACAGCUGUGAAAUCUCUUCAGAUACAUGGAUUUUGUGACGCAUCGAUUCGGCAUAUGGCUGCGCAAUAUAUAAUCGCGUUAUCAACAAAUGUGGCACUAUUACUACCAUUCGCCUACUCAUUGCGAAGUCUAGAGUGACACCUAAGAAAAAUCAACGCAUUGUAACCCGGCCGUUGCUUCCUCUAGAGGAUGUACUGUAAACGAACUUGUUAAUUCACCGGACCAAAGUUUCUAUACGAAAACUCAAAUAAAUGGCCAAAGAACAGCUACGACGAUAUCGACAUGGAAGUUGUCAAUGGGAAGAAACGAAAAUCAGCAUUCAAUACAAUUGUUAGCAAAAUUACAUUUUGGAAAUUGUGAAACCGCGAAGUAACUACACCAGCAUCCUUCGAUUAAUAGCUUGGACGUUCCGCUUCAUCAAUAAAUUUCGACAUGGUGCCAGUCUUAAUGACUCACUAACACUUUCCCCACGAGAGUUACAUCACGCCUUUCUUUGCAUAAUUUGGAAUAUUCAACAUAUACAUUUCGCUAAUGAAAUUCAUCUUUUACAGAAAGAGCUUACGAUAAAUGGCCCGUUACGUUAUUUAUUACGCCGAAGCUGAUGAACCAAGUAAUGGGAUAGUUACCUGUCGAGCGAUUAACUCCAUCUAGCCCUUUUGCGCGGUGCGGGCUUGAUUUCUGCGGACCAGUCAACGUAUAUAUGCGUAUUCGAGACAAAACACCUUAUAAAGCGUACAUUGGGAUCUUCGUUUGUCUAGCGACAAAGGCGGUUCACAUCGAACUAGUAUCGGAUCUAUCCACGGACGCAUUCUUGGCGUCAUUGAAGCGCAUGAUUGGAGGAAGAGAUCUACCCUCUGUGAAUCUGAAUUAAAGUCAUUUUUAUUUAAAACGGAAAACAAAGAUGCUACUAUAAAAUAUUGUGCUAAUGAAUUUAUAAAUUUUAAUUUUAUUCCUCCCAGAGCACCUCAUUUCGGCGGUAUUUGGGAGGUAGCAGUCAAAUCAGCUAAGAGUCACGUUAAUCGCACCAUCAAAAAUGCAAGACCCACAGCCGAGGGCACUCCCAGAGCGGAGAUUGUCAGCUAACAUCAGCAACGUACAACGAUGGAAUCAGGUCACAAGCAUUGAACAGAUGUUUUGGAACAGAUGGUCAAAUAAAUACAUCAACGAACUUCAAGUACGAUCAAAGUGGUUUUCGGAGCGACCAACCAUUAACAACAACUCAAUGGUUAUCAUCCAUGAAGACAACCUACCACCUCAAAAAUGGCACAUUGGAAGAGUUAUAAACUGUUUUCCAAAAAAGAACUCUAAAGUGCGUGUGGUGGACAUUCGAACAACGAAAGGAAUCAUUCACAAGCUAGCACUUCUACCUGUUUGAAAUGCUUUUCAACGGGGCCGGGAUGUUGGUCACCGAUUGAGAACCAAUGCAUUAUACGGUCAUAUGUUCUAAUACACUUUCUGCUAUUUCUUGUUCUCUAUAUAUUUGCCUAAAAUAUUCCAGGGCAAGCAUUAGAAGUCAUUCACCUCAAAGCAUGUAUUUGCAUUGUGUACAUACUUACAUAUUUAUUUGCUUGCUUGCUCUUGCUUUGUACAUCUAUGCUACCGCUAUGUUUUCGUCCACGCAAUUACAUGAAUAUUUGUUUGUGCACAUUAGCUAGCGCCAUUAAACAUGUACUAAGCUUAAUACGUAAGCAGCCUCUUGCAAUGCUGCGUUCCCAUUUUUUAUAUUUCCCUUUUUAUUAAUAACAAUAAUAUAAUAUAUUAUAUACGAAGGAGCAAUAGCGUAAAAUAUGUACUUGGGUUAUUCUCCUUUUAUGAACUGUUAAAGGUAUAUAACUUACAUACUUAUGUAUAUAUGCAUUAAUACAAAACAAAACUAUGUAUUUAACGGUACUGAAAUAUUGUUUAGAAUAUAAUAUUAUUUAAGGAGAAGAGUUUUGCAAAUAAAGUUAGUCUAAUAGCUGACCACACAUUGCAUCAUCACUCGGCCCUUUGUAUUUUAUCGCUGUUUCAGCUGAUAUUUGCGCGGUUAUAAAAAAAGCUUUGUAGCCCUACACUUUCAUAAGCUAGUAAUCAAUAAUGCUACAAAUUUAAAAUUUUUUGUAUGACGGAAAAAUUGUAUACAUGUUCAUAUUUUAAAUAAAAUACAUAUAUUCCAAUAAUAUUAAGAUACCGUUUAGCAAACUUUGAUCUUU